rnacentral:rRNA from 1 species
GACGAACGCUGGCGGCGUGCUUAACACAUGCAAGUCGAGCGGUAAGGCCCCUUCGGGGGUACACGAGCGGCGAACGGGUGAGUAACACGUGAGCAACCUACCCUCAACUUCGGGAUAAGCCUCGGAAACGGGGUCUAAUACCGGAUAUCACUUUCCACCUCAUGGUGGGGGGUUGAAAGUUCUGGCGGUUGGGGAGUGGGCUCGCGGCCUAUCAGCUUGGUUGGUGGGGUAAUGGCCUACCAAGGCGUCGACGGGUAGCCGGCCUGAGAGGGCGACCGGCCACACUGGGACUGAGACACGGCCCAGACUCCUACGGGA